AUGAAAUUGCCAAGAGUAAUAGUAAACUGGGUGAAGAAUGAGGUGCAUGUGCUAUUUAAUUUUUCAAACUGUCAGCAGUCCUGGGCGCAAUUUGUAGAACUGAAGCCACUCUUCCCGUUGGGCACAGAAACCAUCUGUACCGUUGAACAAACGGUGUACUUACUCUUGAGAGUAGUACUACUUACUGAUGGGCCAGUUAGUCACAGUCAGUUUAAACGGCACACAGAGGGAUUGUAUGUAUGUCUAGAAUACAGUGAACUCAUGCAAGUUGUCGAUGCUAAGGAGGGAGGGAUAUGUUUCGUUUCUGGGCAGGGCAUGGGGGUACCCAUUGUGUCAAGACAUUUCUAUGGAAUACCAUUGUUGUUGCUACUCUCAAGUUAG
rnacentral:rRNA from 1 species